CUUUUUGUUGACAAACAGCUGCAGUAACGUUAGUUAGUAAGCAGUACCGUUAGUCGGCUUAUAAUUUUAAUUCUAGUAAUUGGAUAUUAAUUACUUCCAAUUCGUCAGUAAAUGAUUUAUGUUUAUU